CGAUAGCGUAUAUUUAAGUUGCUGCAGUUAAAAAGCUCGUAGUUGGAUUUCGGGUGGGAAUGGCCGGUCCGCCGUUUCGGUGUGCACUUGCUACGCCCACCUUGCUGCCGGGGACGUGCUCUUGAGUUCACGCUCGGGACACGGAGUCGGCGAGGUUACUUUGAGUAAAUUAGAGUGUUCAAAGCAGGCCUACGCUCUGAAUACAUUAGCAUGGAAUAACACGAUAGGACUCUGGCCUAUCUUGUUGGUCUGUAGGACCGGAGUAAUGAUUAAGAGGGACAGUCGGGGGCAUUCGUAUUUCAUUGUCAGAGGUGAAAUUCUUGGAUUUAUGAAAGACGAACUACUGCGAAAGCAUUUGCCAAGGAUGUUUUCAUUGA
rnacentral:rRNA from 1 species